GCAGGCGCCAGGCUGCCUAGUCUCGCGGGAUCCCGGCCCACCCACCCCCCUCCCCUAUAUAAAUGCACGGCCAGCCCUGUUUCUUCCUUUCCAGAUCGCUAGGGGGAAGGACUAUGGCUGAAUUGUGAACAGUGGUUUGCCUGCUUAGAAGUGUGGCCUCCUGAAAAAACACACUGCAUUUGAAUGCAUGAAAAUAGCAGUUGAAUAGUUAUUCUUCUUUUUAAAAGGAAAGAACAAAAAUGACUUGUCACUGGUUCAUCGAUAACCGUGUUGAUGUUAACAGACAGAACCUGAAAGAAACACUGAAGAUUUUUCACUCAUGUUAUGCAAUGAAGAGGUUGAUUGGAACUGGGGGUUUGGUUUGAUGGUACCACUCACUUGAAAGGAAUUUUUUUUCUAAUAUGCAUUUGAUUUUAGGUGUUUUCACUUGUUUAUAGUUAGAAUGGCUUAGGAAUGCUUUCCUUAUCCAGGAAGUGAGAUGAAGUGGUUAAAAUGGAGCUUUUUGCACAAAUAGCAGUCCGAUUCUAUAUUGACGCUGCAUAGAAAUUUCUCCCUGUUAAUCUGGACAAAUUUCCUUUCUGACCAACUUAAAGGUGAUCACUUCACUUGGAGCACAAGAGCUAUCCACUAAAUCUUCGAAGUGAACAGUUUUUACAGGUGCAUAUAAUUAUUAACAGACUGAUAUGGGCAGUCUCUAAUUUCUUACAAGACAUACAUUGAGAGGUGUGAUGGAUUACACUAUGAAACAGGAACUCUCAGAACCAUAUUUAUGAGGUGUCAUGUCCUCACAAAGCAAGUCACUGUGUUGUUCUGGCUUCUGCCUUUUCUCUGCUCCUACUGGCAGUGUGUAGCAUGAACAGUUGGUUCUCGCAUCCUUGUGCCAUUGUGAAAUUGGUUUGGGAGCUCCCUGUUUUGAAAGUAGUUUGUUGUGGAGGUGGUGAGGUAGGGGAGUCUUGAAUUAAGUAACAAUUUCCAGCCCAGGGUGUUCCAAAGUGUUUUUAGAAAGUGGGUGGAGCUUUUGCCCAGCAAGGCUUCUGACUGGCCACUGGAGUUUUGAUUGGAUGUGUAGAUUUUUAAAAACUUGCUUUUCCAAAGGCUGUCACCACAGUACAAGAAUCUUCAGUAUGUGACUGAAAAUAAGCUGUGACACCCAUUUUGUGGUUGGCUCUGCCUACUGAAGCAGCCAUUUUUUUGAUGGCACCCACCCAAAAUGCUUUAGUAUUAAGCAGCAGUGGCAUAGUCGUUGAGAACAUUGGCACUCUCUAAUCUGGAGGAACCGGGUUUU